rnacentral:rRNA from 1 species
UUCCGGUUGAUCCUGCCGGACCCGACUGCUAUUUGGGUGAGGAUAAACCAUGCGAGUUGAAUGGGAUACCUAAAUAUCCCAUAGCAAACUGCUCAGUAACACAUGAUCAACUUACCCUAUGGAGAAAAAUAACCUCGGGAAACUGAGGAUAAUGUUUCAUAGUUGAAUAGGCUUGGAAAAGUUUUUCAAUGAAAGGGAUAAGAAAAAUGGUUCUUAUUUGCCAUAGGAUAGGAUCGUGGUCGAUUAUGGUUGUUGGUGAGGUAACGGCUCACCAAGCCGAUAAUCGAUAGGGGCCGUGAGAGCGGGAGCCCCGAGAUGGGUACUGAGACAACGACCCAGGCCUUACGAGGCGCAGCAGGUGCGGAACCUCCGCAAUACACGAAAGUGUGACGGGGUUACCCAAAGUGUUCAUUAUUGAACUGUGGUAGGUGAGUAAUGUCCCCUACUAGAAAGGAGAGGGCAAGGCUGGUGCCAGCCGCCGCGGUAAAACCAGCUCUUCAAGUGGUCGGGAUGAUUAUUGGGCUUAAAGUGUCCGUAGCCGGUUUAGUAAGUUCCUGGUAAAAUCGGGUAGCUUAACUAUCCGUAUGCUAGGAAUACUGCUAUACUAGAGGGCGGGAGAGGUCUGAGGUACUAUAGGGGUAGGGGUGAAAUCCUAUAAUCCUUAUAGGACCACCAGUGGCGAAGGCGUCAGACUGGAACGCGCCUGACGGUGAGGGACGAAAGCCAGGGGAGCGAACCGGAUUAGAUACCCGGGUAGUCCUGGCCGUAAACGAUGCAUACUAGGUGAUGGCACGGCCAUGAGCCGUGUCAGUGCCGUAGGGAAACCGUUAAGUGUGCCGCCUGGGAAGUACGGUCGCAAGGCUAAAACUUAAAGGAAUUGGCGGGGGAGCACCACAAGGGGUGAAGCCUGCGGUUCAAUUGGAAUCAACGCCGGG